rnacentral:rRNA from 1 species
UACGUAGGGCGCAAGCGUUAUCCGGAAUUAUUGGGCGUAAAGAGCUCGUAGGCGGUUUGUCGCGUCUGCUGUGAAAACUCGGGGCUUAACCCCGGGCCUGCAGUGGGUACGGGCAGACUAGAGUGCGGUAGGGGAGACUGGAAUUCCUGGUGUAGCGGUGAAAUGCGCAGAUAUCAGGAGGAACACCGGUGGCGAAGGCGGGUCUCUGGGCCGAUACUGACGCUGAGGAGCGAAAGCGUGGGGAGCGAACAGG